UACGUAGGGGGCGAGCGUUGUCCGGAUUUAUUGGGCGUAAAGAGCGUGUAGGCGGCCAGGUAGGUCUGCUGUGAAAACUCGAGGCUCAACCUCGAGACGUCGGCGGAAACCAUCUGGCUAGAGUCCGGAAGAGGAAAGCGGAAUUCCACGUGUAGCGGUGAAAUGCGUAGAGAUGUGGAGGAACACCAGUGGCGAAGGCGGCUUUCUGGUCCAGCACCGACGUUCAGGCACGAAAGCGUGGGGAGCAAACAGG
rnacentral:rRNA from 1 species